ACGUUUUGAAGGCUAUCACUAACCACAAUUUUGUUUUUGUGCUAAUUGUUAAAGAAUUGCUGAAAUUUAACCAUAUUGCAGUUCCUGCCAUGGUGGCCGAACUAUUAGAAGAAUUUGAAGAUGUUUUUUUUUGAAGAAUUGCCAGAGGGACUACUUCCCCUGCGUAGCAUUGAACAUCAUAUUGAUUUAAUUGCUGGAGCGGCAUUACCAAAUAGAACAGCCUAUAGAAGCAAUCCUG
rnacentral:misc_RNA from 1 species